CCAUGUCGUUGCAAAUGAUGUGUUAGUAAUUCUUAUUUUUGCUGAACAGUAUUCUGUUGUAUGGAUAUACCACUUUGGUUCAUUCACCAGCUGAUGGAAAUUUGGAUUGUUUCCACUUUUUUGGCUAUUAUGAAUGAUGCCACUAUGAACAUUCACCUUCAAGUCUUUGUGUGGACAUGUUUUUCAUUUGUCUUGGGUAAGUACCUAGAAGGAGUAUUGCUAGGUUAUAUGCAUGCAUCCGUACAUACCUUCCCAUCCUGGGAUAUGGUGGAGGCUUACUCACUCUUAUCCCCAGAUCACUGUGUUAAAUUUCCACGGUUCUGCUUAUCUGUUGCUUGCUGCCAUCAGUAUCUUAACCUCAGGCUAGCUACCAUGUUGGCCUUCCCUGACUGCCACUAGCAUUGAUGUUUCCAGCAAUACCUCUGACCGUGAGUUUUUCCCACAUUUUGCUCCAAAAGCAGUUGAGCCCCCGCUCCAGCAAGGAGGCUGCAGGUUCUCACAGCCUGCCCCUCUCCAGUGGAACUAUAACGCCCCAGAACUUGGGAGGCUGUGGGGGGAUUGUGUGUGGGGCAGAAGGGUGGGGAAACUGCUCUGGGCUAAAAUGCCAGAUUCACACUGUUUUUACUAAGGAUCGGUAGCUCUUUUGGAGUAAACGUUUCUGUUUGUUGCAUGCCUUUGGUCAUUUUCCAAAGUUCUAAAAUCAUUGUUUCAACAGUUUUCUCAAUGUUUUUCACUACUUUCUGGGGAGAAAAUGUGCCAUACUCGUUUCCCAGUUAUUCCCAAAGUCUCAUGGGGCUCCUUAUUUUUAAAUUGGGUUGUAAGAGUUCUUUAUAUGCUCUGCAUGCAAAUAUUUUUAUCAGACGUAUGAUUUGCAAAUACCUUCGGUCUAUGGCUUGCCUUUUCAAUUUCUUAACAGUGGUUUUGAAAGAGCAAAAGUUUUAAAUUUUGCUGAAGUCUAGUUUAUUAGUUUUUUGUUUUCCUUUUUAUGCUUUUAGUCCUGUUUGAGAAAUUUUUGCUAAAUACAAAGUCACAGAGAUUUUCUCUGUCACUCUUACAUUUGGAUCUGUGAUACAACUCAAGUUAAUUUUUGUGUAUAUUGUGUGAAGGUAUAUAUUGAUGUUCAUGGUUAUCCAUAUGACUCUCCAGUUUGUUCCAGAUUGUUUGUUCUAAUGACCAUUGAAUUAACUUGGUAUCUUUGUUGAAAAUCAAAAAGCUUUAUAUGUGUGGGUCCGUUUCUGGGCUCAUUUUUGUUCCAUCGACCUAUAUAUAUUACAUUAUCUUGAUUACUGUGUAUUUAUAAAAGUUUUGAAAGCAUUGUUUUCAGUUUUAAAACAAACUUUCUCUGGGCCUAGAAUUCUAGAUCAUCAUUUUUUUUUGUUGUUUUUAUUGUCUUUUAGUACUUUAAAGAUGCUCUCCCAUUAUCUUGUAUCAUACAGUAGCUUCAGGCAAGAAGUUUGCCAUCAUUCUUUGUAAAAAAAUUUUUAUGUUUUAUGUGUUUUGUUUUGUUUUCGGUUUUUUGGGGGUUUUUUUUGAGAGAGAGCAUGAGCAGGGGAGGAGCAGAGGAAGAGGGAGAGAGAGAAUCUUAAGCAGGCUUUUCACUGAGCAUGGUGCUUCAUGCGGGGCUCCAUCUUACAACCCUGGGAUCAUGACCUGAGCCGAAAUUAAGAGUUGGGCACUUAACCAACUGAGCCACCCAGGUGCCCUUAUAAGAUUUUUUUUCUUUUUUCUUUUUUUGAAAGUUUAUUUUGAGAGAGUGGGGGAGGGGCAGGGUGAGAGGGAGAGAGAGAAUCCCAAACAGGUUCCAUGCUGUCAACAUGGAGCCCAUUGUGGGGCUCAGACCCACAAACCAUGAGAUCAUGACCUGAGCUGAAAUCAAGAGUCAGACGCUUAACCAACUGAGCCACCCAGGAGCCCUCCCCGCCCCAUGUAAAAACUUUAUAGUUGAGACUGUUUACAUACUAUAAAAUCCACCAUUUUGAAAGGUACAAUUCAGUGCUUUUAGAAUAUUCACAAGGUCACCACUGUUUAAUUUGAGAACAUAUACAGCAGUCCAAAAAGAAAUCCCUGCCCAUCAGUAGUCAUGCUCCAUUCUUCCCUUCCUUCCCAUCGCCUUUCUCUUGGUCAUCACUAUUCUACUUGUCUCUCUUUAAAUCUGCGUAUUCUGGAUACUUCAUUAAAUGGAAUCAUACAAUACGUGUCCUAUUGUGUCUGGUUUCUUUCCCUUAGUGCAAUAUUCUCAAGGUUUACCCAUGCUGUAAUAGGUAUCAGUGCUUAAUUUUUUUAGAUACCUAAAUAGUAUUGUAUGGAUACAUCACAUUUUCUUGAUGGAUAUUUGGGUGGUUUCCACUUUUUGGCUAUCCUGAAUACUGCUGCUAUGAGCCUUUAUUUGAGCACACAUCUUUUUGUGAACAUGUCUUCAGUUACCGUGGGCAUAAACCCACUAGUAGAAUUGUUGGGUCAUAUGUAUGGCAGUUUUGUGUUUAACUUUGUGAAAACUGCCAAACUUUUUCCAAAGUGGUUUCAUCAUUUUACAUUCCCACCACAAAUAUGUAAAGGUUUAAAUUUCUCCACAUCCUCACUGACACUGGUAUUUGCCCAUCUUUUUUAACAUAGCUAACCUAGUGGCUAUGAAGUGAUAUCUCGUGGCUUUGAUUUGCAUUUCCAUGACUAAUUAUGUUCGGUGUCUUUUCAUUUGCUUAUUGGCCAUUUGUGGAUCUUUGGAGAAACGCCUGUUCAGAUUCUUUCCCCACUUUAAAAUUAUUUGUCUUUUUAUUACUGCGUUUUAAGAAUUUUUUUAAUAUGUUCUUGAUUCUAGACCUUUGUCAGAUAUGAUUUGCAAAUAUUUUCUCCCAUUCUGUGCAUUGUCUUUCACUUUUUUUUGGUAGUGACCUUUGCAAGCACAAAAGUUUUUAAUUUUGAUGAAGUCCAGUUUAUCUCAAUUUUUGUCUUUGGCUGCUCAUGUUUUAGGUGGCAUCUAAGAAACCAUUGCCUAAUCCAAAGUUACAAAGAUUUACGCUAAUAAAAAGUUUUCUUCUAAGAGUUUCAUAAUUUUAGCCCUUACAUUAGGUCUUUGAUCCAUUUGGAAUUAAUUUUGUGUAUAAAAUGAGGUGUAACUGUCCAACUUCAUUCUUUUACAUGUGGAUGUCGUUGUUCCAACACCAUUUGUUGAAAAGACCAUUAUUCUUCACCCCAUUCAACUAUCUUGCCUCCCUUGUCGAAAUUCAAUUGAAGAUAAAUGUAUGGGUUUGUUUCACAACUCUUAAUUUUAUUCCAUUGAUCUAUGUCUGUCCUUAUGCCAGUACCAAACUAUAAUCUUGAUAACUGUAUUUUUGUAGUAUGUUUUAGAACGGGGAAGUGUUUUUGGCUUGGAAGUGGAAGUUUUCCUUGUCACUUGAACUAAAGAUUAGGUAAUGCCAGUUUGUAAAAUAUUAGGCAGCUUUAGCAUUUUUGCAUACAAGGAAAUGAUGCCAUCAUACAAAUGAUAGGAAAGCUCUCGACUGGGCAUUUUUCCCUUAUUAGAGUUGACCAUAAUCUGGGCUUGGGAGAUCUUUACACCCACUCCCCUUUCCCUUGUGUGGCAGGGUGAAAACUCAAAAAGCAUAUUGAUGAUUGCUGGGAAAUAUGUGAAUUGUUAGCUAACUGUCCAGUUAGUAUAGCUUUCUACAAUUCCUUCUUUGGGACAGCUCCAAAAGUAAAUAUGUAAGUACUUACACAAAGAAAAAGUAAUAUUACUUCAAAUCCCAUUGUGCAUAAUCACCAUUAGUCUUCGGUGACUAUACCCCCACUUACCAAUCUGUAUAAACCUAAUUUAACAUAUGUAAUGUCACACCAAACAUGCUCUCUUUCGGGCACGUUCAACAGUAUAUCAUAAAUACUUUUGUCAUUAAGUCCAAAUCUUCACAAUAUUGAUGAUAUAGUACAAUUAGGAUAUUUAUGAUUUCCUUUACACUUUUAUUAUUAAAAUUUUAAGCUGUUUCUAUGUUACACUCUUGACAUGGGAGUUCAAGUUUCUCUGUACUUUGAGCAAAACUGAAUUUUAUUGCUGUGUUUCCACCUCUGCUAUUCUGAUAAGCACAAACUCAGUUUUUGUUGCAUUUCUUUCAUUAUGACUGUAGUUAAACAUCUUUUCAUUACUGUACUGGCCAUUUGUGUUUCCUUGCAAAUUAUUUGUUUAUGACUAUUGCUGGUUUUGGGUUUUUUUCCUUAGUGGUUUAAGAUAUUUUUAAGUGUUAAGACUAUUAGUUUUUUAAUAUACAUUACAAAUGUGUUUAUUAGCUUUUCAUUUCACUUUGAAUCUAAUUUAUGGUAGUAUUUUUUCUUAGGGUUGUUUUGCUUUCCUUCUGUUCAACAUUUUUAAAAUAGUCACAUUUAUUAAUUUUGGCCUUUGUUUAUUUUGUUGUUGUUUAUUUACUUAUUUUGAGAAAGAGAGUAGGGGAGGGGCAGAGAGAGAGGGAGAGAGAGAGAGAAUCCCAAGCAGGCUCCACACUGUUGGUGCAGAGCCCGAUGCGGGACUUGAGCCCACAAACCAUGAGAUGGUGACCUGAGCCAAAGUCUGACAUUUAACCAACAGAGCCACCCGGUGCCCCCUUUUAUGUUUUUGACUUUCAUGGUCAUGUUUAAAAGGAUUUUACUCAUCCACCCUCCCCAGCUCAUGCUCUGUCUCUCUCUCAAAAAUAAACAUUAAAAAAAUUUUUUUUAGGGGCGCCUGGGUGGCGCAGUCGGUUAAGCGUCCGACUUCAGCCAGGUCACGAUGUCGCGGUCCGCGAGUUUGAGCCCCGCGUCAGGCUCUGGGCUGACGGCUCGGAGCCUGGAGCCUGUUUCCGAUUCUGUGUCUCCCUCUCUCUCUGCCCCUCCCCCGUUCAUGCUCUGUCUCUCUCUGUCCCAAAAAUAAAUAAACGUUGAAAAAAAAAAUUAAAAAAAAAAAAAAAUUUUUUUUAAAAAGGGGGCACCUGGGUUUCUUGGUUAAGCAUCCAACUUCGGCCUAGGUUGUGAUCCUUGCAGUUCAUGAGUCGGAGCCCCAAAUUGGGCUCUGUGCUGACAGCUCAGAGCCUGGAACCCGCUUCAGAUUCUCUGUCUGUCUGUCUCUCUCUCUGCCCCUCCCCACUCAUGCUGUGUGUCUCUCCUCUCAAAAAUAAACAUUAAAAUUUUGUUUUAAAUAAAGGGAUUUUACCCAUCUUAAGUUUAUAUAAGUAUUUGCUUGUAUUUUCUCCUGGUGCUUUUAUAUAUAAUUUCCUUUCUAAAUAUAUUUAAAUAUUUAAUCCAUCUCUUAAAAUGCAACUUUAAAAAAUUAUAGAGCUUUUUGUUUGGCACAAUAUGUUUGAGUAAUAAGUGUCUUAGUAGGUGGAUUUUUGCAUUAUUUUUUGCAGAAGCAUCUACUUAAGCUUUUAAAGUCUCAUUUUGCCAGUCGAUGCUGGAAUACAAAAUAAUGGUGAGAUAACAGUUUUUUAUAUAUAAUAUUUACGCUCUUCUCAAUGUUCUGAUCUUUGCAUAAACGUCACUUCCUCAGAUAGGCUGUCUCUGACUACCCUGUCUUCAUAAAGUAUAAUCCGUGAUCACUCCAUCUCAUGAAGAACACACUCCUCUUGCUUAAUUUUCUUCAUAGCACUUAGUACUAUGUGAUCUCAUCGUGUUUGUUUGCUCAUUAUCUCUCCCAUUGGAAUGCGGAUUCCAUAAAAGCAGGGAUCUCUUCUGUUUUGUUCAUUGCUAUAUCCCCAGAACCUAGAGCUGAUUCUGGUGCAUAGUAGCCACUCCAUAAAUAUUUGACAGUGACCGUGACUUAAAGUAUAUCCUUGUGGUAAUUUUUGGAUGUGUCGACUUUUGUUGAAAUAUAUGAAAGAGGGGUGCCUGGGUGGUUCAGUCGGUUAAGCGUCUGACUUCAGCUCAGGUCAUGAUCUCACAGUUUGUGGGUUCCAGCCAUUGGGGCUCUGUGCUGACAGCUCAGAGCCUGGAGCCUGCUUCAGAUUCUGUGUCUCCCUCUCUCUCUGCUCCUCCCCCUGCUUGUGCUCUGUCGCUCAAAAAUAAAUAAACGGGGUGCCUGGGUAGCUCAGUCAGUUAAGCUUCAGACUUUCUCAGGACAUGAUCUCAUGGUUCCUGGGGUUGAGCCCCAUGUCGGACUCUGUGCUGACAGUUCAGAGCCUGGAGCCUGCUUCAGAUUGUGUGUCUUCUUCUCUCUCUGCCCCUCCCUCGCUCAUGCUCUGUCUCAAAAGUAAACAUUAAAAAAAUAAAAAUAAAAAACACUAAAAAACAUGUGAAAGUUAUCCACCAGUAUCUCUGAAAUUAGAAAUCACAAGGCAAUAGAAGAAUAGAGUUCAAUAUAAAAUAAAACUGCAGUCAUCUAAUGCUGGGGCAUAGUGACCACACCUAAUAAUGAUAAAAAUAAAACUAAGCUGUUCACAUAGGCCUUUUGAUUGUUCUUUUUUCAGGGUUUUGUGUUGUGUCAUUGUGCUAAUAAAAAUGAUAAGUCGUAUUUUGGUGCAUUCACUGAGUGCCAGCCAUUGUGCUCAGCACAAUUAUCUCAAUCCUUACAACAGCCCUAUCAGGAAGGUAUUUUCAUCCUCAUUCAUAGAUGAGGAAACUUGAGGUUAAGUGAUUUGCCCAAGAGCAAACCAGUGGUAGGUGACUGAACUUGAAAUUGCAAAUAUGACUAUCAGGAUUCCUGGCUCCAGAAGUUUGUAGAGAAGUUAGAAAGGCCAAGCUCAUUGAUCUGCCCUUGCCCCCGUAUUCCCUAUUUUCCUUACCCUGCUUUUUAUUCUUUUUCUAGAAUACCCGUCCGACAGAUUUUGUGUUUGUUUAUUGUCGCUCUUUGUCCUUCUAGAAUCGAAGUGCUGUGAAGUCAGAUUAGUCCAUGAGUUUUGUUCACUAUCGCAUGUAUGGGUCUACAACACCACCUGGCAUGUAGUGGGCUCUCAGAAGGCUAAAUAAUAAGACUAACAUACUGGACGUGUGACAAGGAGGCAAAUCUAGUGUAAGGGCUAUUAUCUUUUUACACCGGAGUUUAUGAACCAAGAAGCAGAGAGAGAAGGAUCUUCAUUGGAGAGUUGGAGGUUGUGACUAUCAGAAGAACUAAAACCAGACUCAAACCCAGAGUAUUAUGCCUUCUAAGGAGUAGGUUUGGGUGGGACUAACGUCAGGUGCGUGGGGCCAGUGAGGAGGCUUUUUUCUUGUACGCUUCUGUAAGAUUUGAAUUUUUACCAUAUACACCCGUUACUUAAUAAAAACAGUUUUGGACUUCAGUUUCUGGUGAUGACUGACUAAACAUAGUAAUAAAAUGUUGGAUUUAAGAAAGAAGGAAGAAAGGAAAAAAUAGGAACUGCCAGGUCAGUUUUUGGAUGAAAGUCUGUAACAAAGGAGGAAAAUGGAACAUUAGAACAACGACAAAGCUACAGCCGUUGUGAGUUGUCAAGAGGACUGUCUUGCUGCUCUUGGAGCAGGUGAGGAAAAGAAAUAGAAAAAGCAAUUUCCCUGGGCGGUUUGGGCAGAUGCGCUUUCCCGAAGUUCAGCUCUUCAAGUACGCAUAGCUGGAUGGACCAGGAUUCUCCGAAUCUGAACUUAACAGCUGCACAAGAUCUCUGGAAGAAGACUCAUCCCAAGCCAUUGCUUUUUCAAGGUUAAUAUCCAGCAAGCAAUAAAGAUUAUUGCAAGCUAUGCAAACAACCUGAUGGUGAACGAGAAUCAACUUUGGAAAACAGAGUGCAUGGACCAGUUAUUGUAAUGGUCAUAUUGUAAUGGUCAUUUUUUUUUAAGGUUAAUGAGAUAAUUUACAUAAAGUCAAGUUCACCCUUUUCAGUGUGCAGUUGUAUGAAUUUUGACAAAUGGAUGUUCUCACGUACCCAUCCACACAAGGUAUAAAACCGUUCCAUUACCCCAAAAAGUACCCUGUGCUCCCCAAGCCCCUGGCAACUGCUGGUCUGGUUUCUUCCCUAGGGAUGUGUUUUAAACAAUGGCCUAUAACUGAAAUCACCUAUGAUAUGUAGGUUUUGAGCCCACUUCUUUCACUUAGCAUAAUCAUUUGAGAUUUCUCCAUGUUGUAUGUAUCCGUAGUUUGAUCCUUUUAAUUGGUGAGUAGUAAUCCAUUGUAUGAAUGUAUCAACGUUUUGUUCAUCCAUUUACUAGGUGAAGGAGAUUUGAGUUGUUUCCGAUUUUUACUGAUGACAAAU
rnacentral:lncRNA from 1 species